CAGUCGCCACGGUAAUACGAAGGGGGCUAGCGUUGCUCGGAAUUACUGGGCGUAAAGGGCGCGUAGGCGGACAGUUCAGUCGGGGGUGAAAGCCCGGGGCUCAACCUCGGAAUUGCCUUCGAUACUGGCUGUCUUGAGUAUGAGAGAGGUGUGUGGAACUCCGAGUGUAGAGGUGAAAUUCGUAGAUAUUCGGAAGAACACCAGUGGCGAAGGCGACACACUGGCUCAUUACUGACGCUGAGGCGCGAAAGCGUGGGGAGCAAACAGGAUUAGAUACCCCCGUAGUCCCUGUCUCUUAUCA
rnacentral:rRNA from 1 species